GACGAACGCUGGCGGCGCGCCUAACACAUGCAAGUCGAACGGAGUUUGAUGGAAUGAAUCUUCGGAGGAAUGAAGUUGAGCUUAGUGGCGAACGGGUGAGUAACGCGUGAGCAAUCCGCCUUAAAGAGGGGGACAACAGUUGGAAACGACUGCUAAUACCGCAUAAGCCCACACUACCGCAUGGUAGAGUGAGAAAAGAUUUUAUCGCUUUAAGAUGAGCUCGCGUCUGAUUAGCUAGUUGGUGGGGUAACGGCCUACCAAGGCAACGAUCAGUAGCCGGACUGAGAGGUUGAUCGGCCACAUUGGGACUGAGACACGGCCCAGACUCCUACGGGAGGCAGCAGUGGGGAAUAUUGCACAAUGGAGGGAACUCUGAUGCAGCGACGCCGCGUGAGGGAAGAAGGUAUUCGUAUUGUAAACCUCUGUCUUCGGGGACGAUAAUGACGGUACCCGAGGAGGAAGCACCGGCUAACUACGUG
rnacentral:rRNA from 1 species